rnacentral:rRNA from 1 species
AUUGAACGCUGGCGGCAGGCCUAACACAUGCAAGUCGAACGAGUGGCGGAGGGGUGAGUAAUGUCUGGGAAACUGCCCGUUGGAGGGGGAUAACUACUGGAAACGGUAGCUAAUACUGCAUCCCAUCGGAUGUGCCCAGAUGGGAUUAGCUAGUAGGGUGGGUAACGGCCCACCUAGGCGACGAUCCCUAGCUGGUCUGAGAGGAUGACCAGCCACACUGGAACUGAGACACGGUCCAGACUCCUACGGGAGGCAGCAGUGGGGAAUAUUGCACAAUGGGCGCAAGCCUGAUGCAGCCAUGCCGCGUGUAUGAAGAAGGCCUUAGGGUUGUAAAGUACUUUCAGCGGGGAGGCGUUACCCACAGAAGAAGCACCGGCUAACUCCGUGCCAGCAGCCGCGGUAAUUC